GAUUUCUGGUAUUGUUGGGCUGGUCCGGGCCUUCUGGGUUCUGUGUAUCAGUUUUGACGUGCCAUCUUUUCCGGAAACGGCGUGUGGGGGCAACUCUGCACGAGAAUACGCUCCGGAUCUUUUACUUUGAAAAAAUUAGAGUGUUUCAAGCAGGCUUUAUGCUAUGAAUACAUUAGCAUGGAAUAAUAAUUUAGGACUUCGGUUCUAUUUUGUUGGUUUCUAGGACUGAAGUAAUGAUUGAUAGGGAUAGUUGGGGGUGCUAGUAUUCAGCGGCCAGAGGUGAAAUUCUCGGAUUCGCUGAAGACUAACUUAUGCGAAAGCAUU
rnacentral:rRNA from 1 species